rnacentral:rRNA from 1 species
CGUAGGGUGCGAGCGUUAAUCGGAAUUACUGGGCGUAAAGCGUGCGCAGGCGGUUUAGUAAGACAGGCGUGAAAUCCCCGGGCUCAACCUGGGAACUGCGCUUGUGACUGCUAAGCUAGAGUACGGCAGAGGGGGGUGGAAUUCCACGUGUAGCAGUGAAAUGCGUAGAGAUGUGGAGGAACACCAAUGGCGAAGGCAGCCCCCUGGGUCGAUACUGACGCUCAUGCACGAAAGCGUGGGUAGCAAACAGGAUUAGAUACCCUGGUAGUCCACGCCCUAAACGAUGUCAACUAGGUGUUGGGAGGGUAAAACCUUUUAGUACCGGAGCUAACGCGUGAAGUUGACCGCCUGGGGAGUACGGCCGCAAAGGUUAA